rfam:Nectria haematococca mpVI 77-13-4 chromosome 1 genomic scaffold NECHAsca_1_chr1_3_0, whole genome shotgun sequence.
ACCCGUGUGACGCAAUUGGUUAGCGUGUCAGACUUUUAAUCUGAAAGUUCGUGGUUCGAGUCCGCGCACGGGUG